GAUGAGCGCUGGCGGCGUGCUUAACACAUGCAAGUCGAACGGAAAGGCUCCUGCUUGCAGGGGUACUCGAGUGGCGAACGGGUGAGUAACACGUGGGUGAUCUGCCCUGCACUUCGGGAUAAGCCUGGGAAACUGGGUCUAAUACCGGAUAGGACGAUGGUUUGGAUGCCAUUGUGGAAAGUUUUUUCGGUGUGGGAUGAGCUCGCGGCCUAUCAGCUUGUUGGUGGGGUAAUGGCCUACCAAGGCGUCGACGGGUAGCCGGCCUGAGAGGGUGUACGGCCACAUUGGGACUGAGAUACGGCCCAGACUCCUACGGGAGGCAGCAGUGGGGAAUAUUGCACAAUGGGCGCAAGCCUGAUGCAGCGACGCCGCGUGGGGGAUGACGGCCUUCGGGUUGUAAACUCCUUUCGCUAGGGACGAAGCGCAAGUGACGGUACCUGGAGAAGAAGCACCGGCUAACUACGUG
rnacentral:rRNA from 1 species